rnacentral:rRNA from 1 species
UACAGAGGGUGCAAGCGUUAAUCGGAAUUACUGGGCGUAAAGCGUGCGUAGUCGGUUAUUUAAGUCGGGCGUGAAAGCCCCGGGCUCAACCUGGGAAUUGCGUUCGAUACUGGAUAGCUAGAGUUCGGCAGAGGGAAGCGGAAUUUCGGGUGUAGCGGUGAAAUGCGUAGAUAUCCGAAGGAACAUCAGUGGCGAAAGCGGCUUCCUGGACCAGAACUGACGAUCAGGCACGAAAGCGUGGGGAGCAAACAAG